CCUACGGGAGGCAGCAGUGGGGAAUAUUGCACAAUGGGGGAAACCCUGAUGCAGCGACGCCGCGUGAGUGAAGAAGUAUCUCGGUACGUAAAGCUCUAUCAGCAGGGAAGAAAAUGACGGUACCUGACUAAGAAGCCCCGGCUAACUACGUGCCAGCAGCCGCGGUAAUACGUAGGGGGCAAGCGUUAUCCGGAUUUACUGGGUGUAAAGGGAGCGUAGACGGCAGGACAAGUCUGGAGUGAAAUCCCGGGGCUUAACCCCGGAACUGCUUUGGAAACUGUGCGGCUGGAGUGCAGGAGGGGUAAGCGGAAUUCCUAGUGUAGCGGUGAAAUGCGUAGAUAUUAGGAGGAACACCGGUGGCGAAGGCGGGUUCCUGGACAUUAACUGACGCUGAGGCACGAAGGCCAGGGGAGCGAAAGGGAUUAGAUACCCGAGUAGUC
rnacentral:rRNA from 1 species